UCUUCACCAAACUCAAGCCUGCCAUCGCGGUCAACUCCUCUCUCAAGUCCACUGAUGUAUGCUGCGAGUCACUGGACAAAGUGGAAACAGCAGGAAAGCCGUCCAUAUGGAGAAUGUUCCUCCCAGAUUAAAACUCUCCUGUGGCUAAAAGCAAGAAAAACCGGCCUCCACAAAUAACCACCCACUCGGACAGUACCAUCCGCACGCAGGAUCUGCUAAAGAAACCACUAGCAACUGCACCGAGCCAACUUUUAAAACGAGGUGCGUCUAUAAUAUGUUCUUCCCAAGAAUCCAGCGCUCCCGUUCAGUGGAAAGAGAAUACCAAACUGCAAAUACAUUAACAGGACAUUGUCGCUCCGGGACUGGGAUCUGACAACUUGUUGCGGACCGUGAGAUGAAGUGCUGGGAUUAACCAUUCAGUGCUUUCGAAGAGGGCCAAAGAACACCACUUUGGGUGCUCCACCUUUGUCAGGAUACUCAAGCCAAAAUGAGUUAAUGUCCUGGAAGCUGGGGACGAUUUUACCAUCUGUCAGGCAAAUCCGGCGGGACAGGCUGGGCUGGGGCUUUGCUGGCAGGCAGAUGAGAGGCUGCUAGCAUCGAAGACUAAUUAGCGCAAAUAAGCACCUCCUGAGCUCCUCAAUCCUAUGACAACUCAAGCGAAAAAAUCAGAAGACAAACUUGGCCAUGUUCUAUUAAUGCAGCUCAAGCUGAAUCCUUCAGAAUUUUCCUCCUUCGCUUUUCUUUUAUAGCCACCAGUCAUGACCCAGGCAACUGUUGCUUUAUA